rnacentral:rRNA from 1 species
AGCAGCCGCGGUAAUUCCAGCUCCAAUAGCGUAUAUUAAAGUUGUUGCAGUUAAAAAGCUCGUAGUUGAAUUUCGGGAUUAGUAAGUUGGUCAUGCCUUUGGUAUGUACUGGUUUCACUGAUUCCUCCCUCUUGAUGAACUGUUAUGUCAUUAAUUUGGUGUUUCAGGGAAUCAGGACUGUUACUUUGAAAAAAUUAGAGUGUUUAAAGCAGGCUAACGCUUGAAUACAUUAGCAUGGAAUAAUGAAAUAGGACGUUCGAUCCUAUUUUGUUGGUUUCUAGGAUUGACGUAAUGAUUAAUAGGGAUAGUUGGGGGCAUUAGUAUUCAAUUGUCAGAGGUGAAAUUCUUGGAUUUAUUGAAGACUAACUACUGCGAAAGCAUUUGCCAAGGAUGUUUUCAUUAAUCAAGAACGAAAGUUAGGGGAUCGAAGACGAUCAGAUACCGUCGUAGUCUUAACCAUAAACUAUGCCGACUAGGGAUCGGAUGAUGUUAAUUUUUUAAUGACUCAUUCGGCGCCUUACG